GUUCAUCACUACUUUUAAGUAACUUAAUUUGUGGAAGGUUGAUGUGAGGCAGACUUAGCAAGCCUGGGCUCAUGUGUAUUCAUUGACUAUUUUGGUAACAGGACCAAAAUGGAAAUUUCCUUCACUCAAGGUUGAGUGCAUUUAAGCUAAGUUGAAAGAUGUACUCUACCAAAAGUUUUAGUAGUUCCCACCGAAAUUGAAGUGAAAUACAAAAUACUCCUUGACUGGUAUAUAGGCUGUGUGAAGAUUAGUGAGUGUUUAAUUUGUAUUUGUGAAAGGUAGAAGGGCACAGGUUUUGCAGUUAAGAUCAGACAGCUAAAAGCUGUGAGAGGAGAUACAGACUUAGGAAAUGGACUUUAAACCUCUAUCUGUAUUGGCAGCUAUUAGAAGAAAGUCACACUCUUGGAACUAAAAAAGCUGGUUUGAAUUUUUCCUCUUCUCCCUAUGUUACCUUAGAAUAUUGUAGGGAGCUUAUAAUUAGUUAUUUUUUAAUCAAGGAAAAACUUAAGUCUCUCUAAGAAGCAAUUAUUUUCCAUAACAUCAGAGUGAAUAACCCACCUUGCUGUUCAGUCCACAUCAUUCUGGAAAGAAAAGGUGAGUUUGCUCCCAAAAUUCCUGUGGUUUUUAAGGAGAUCACUGGAAUAAGUCCCAAACCCACUUCUAGUAGUCAAGCUUCCUUUUCAGUUUUCUCAACUCUUCUCUGGUGAGACAGCUAAUCAGAGAUUAUAGUACCAACUCGGACCCUUCCAUAUGCUUUGCGUAAGUAGUCAGAGUAACUGCCUCAGCUAACUAAACUUGUGUAUAGAACAUAUAUGAGGGCUUCCUCAGGCUUCAUGAGUUUGGGUAAAGGUACUAUGUAGAAGACUGGAUGAAUUACGGUAGGAAUAAAAGUUAGCACUUCCAAUGUUAACAAAAAAGUCCUCUUGUGCCUCAGAAGCAUCACUGAGAGACUUUUUUUUGUCCCAUAUUAUAAAUCUAGUUUUAAUAAGUAUGAAGAUAGUCUUUCAUAUACGAGGAAUAAGUUUAUUAUGCUUCUCCCAUCUAAAGUGAAAACUGCUAAAAGGCAGAAAUAAUGUAUAUCCCAACCCCAGAAUACCUGUUUCUGGGAUUACCUUAUACCUGCUACUCAGGAAACGUUUUCACUGGCUUGGUCUGACUACUUGCCAUCUGCUCUCUGAGCAUUCACUGCUGAAUGAAAGGGGAGAGAAAGUGAAAGGAGAGGUGGUGGGGAAGAGGAAGCUGAAAAAAUAAGAGGAAACAGCUGGGAGCUGAGGAGGUGGGGGACUUAUGUAAGGUCAGUAAAAAAAAGCUAGCAGAGGACAGGGUCAGGCCUUGCGGGUAGAGGGCUAAUUAACUUCUGUCAAAUAGUUGAGUAGAGCCUUGUGUGUUUUGUUAAAGAGGCUAAAGUUACUUGGAAGGAAAAAUCUAGAUUUUCUGAAUCUGACCCAUCUUCCCUGUGUGCCAUAGUAAAUUGUUCAUCAAGUCAAAAUCUAUCCUGCCCUCUAGGAAUUCUGGUCUUCUUUCUUCACGUCUAGCAGAGAACUUGCUGCCACUGCUUGGGCAACCAAGAGUGAAAUGUGUGAAGUAGUGGUUGUGGAUGGCAGGUAAGCUUGAUGUUUUAUUCACAGCUUAACGAGUAAAUGUUGAGUACAGCUGUUGUCCCUAUGUAGAGCUUUAAUGACCAGCCUGCCAGGUCCGUGCACCUGCUUUUAUGCCUGGACCAGAUGACUGACUGUAGAACUUUAGGCAGCUUCUAGUUCAGAGACUUUUCAGGGUUCAAGAAACAUCCUUAAAGGAGCUAAUUCCCUCUCCUGGAGCCUUAGUCAGAUUUUAUGCUGUCCUGGCCUUAUGUUGCCAUCUCUUGGCAUUGGUUUCUAGAAUCCUUCCUAAAGCUUAGUCUAGCUGGUCUUGUGAUGUCACACCAGUGUCUUAGGUUACCACUCCUCACUUCCCUCACCCAGGGAACAUACUACACAGGCUCCUCAACACCUCUUUCAUUUUUCUUUGUUCCUUUCACUACCAGGAAUGGAGGGAUCCUCAGCUGAAGAUCAGAUUGACCCAAUGAGGGUUUUUUUUCCCCUUUUUUAAAUCUAGGCUAAUGCAAGGGAGAAGAAGAAGUACCGACUGAGAAAGAGACAGCCAUAAAAUCUGCGUGUAUUAAUAUGCUAACUGUUUGGAGACUUCUGAGAAACAGUAUCCUUCCUGAACUCUGGACUAUCCUCAAAUCUGGCUAUUUCCCUGAUGUGUUUACCUGCUUCUGCCACUGAUCCAAAUUGCAGAACUUCUCAUUCGUCCUAAGACCUCCAGACGGCAUCCACCAGGGAACUGACUCUAAAAGGAACCAGACCAACAUUUUCCAGCCCCUUCACUCUGGUGACUGAGGGAAAGGAGUGAGAUGGGGUAUACGUGGGUAGUGGAUGGAAAGGAAACAUAGACUGUCAAAUUACUUUACCUCUUCAGUUUCUUUUACUAAUAGAAUCCUGCAACCACAUUAUUUUUAUUGUGUAUAUAUGGGAGAAGUUGGAGAUGGUGACCUUGAUUAGAACGUGGCUCAAGAGGAAUAAAUGGAGGGGAUGAGAUAAGAGACAAUUGGUUAUGAAAGAUGUUAAAGUCUUGAAAUAAUGUGACCAUCUGAAGAAUUUUUUUAAACCAGAGUUUAUAAAAAUAUCACUGAUACAGCCUGCCCCCUCAUUUCCUGCCCAAGGAGACUUCUUGGACUGGAGACACUUGUUUAAUAAUAGCUUGUCUCUGAUAUUUCCAGUAGCUACCUCUAUGUGAGGAAAGGAGAGAAAACGUUCAGGACAUCGUCAUGCAAAGUUCCAGUAGCAGUGACGCCUACACGGAAGACUUGGAACUGCAGAGGCUGGGGUCACCUCAGUGACAUCUGAUGCUGUCCAACCAGAAGUUCGAUUUUUGUUUUGGGGUGGUGGGGUGAGGAAGCACACUGUAUACUGAAGGACUAAAAUAAUUUCUUGUCUACAAUUUCGAAAGCACUUGUUUUAAUUUCUUUGGCGGGAGAGGGGGUGUUCGGGUAGAAUUGCACGUCAUAUCUGGAGUUAAGGGGAGGAUGGGGAAGCUCAGCCCUUCACCCAAGAAUAACCCAGCAAUGACAUCUCUGCGCGUGGGAAGUGUUUCCCUCAGCACUGGGAGGAUCUGAGGCUGCACCCCAGUGGGAUUCCCUGCUUGAGUUGGAAGGCUAACUCAGAGCUAGAUGCAUAUCACAGCGAGAGUGCGGAAGGUUUAGCUGGGAUGAAGUACCAGAAGAGACAGACACUCCAAGUAGAAGGGGCUUCCCCCAAUUUGGAGGUCGGAGCUGUGCUGCGCAUAAGGGACUGAAGAGCCAGGUGACCGCCGUGGCCUGUGCCUUCCGUUGAGGGUCUGAUAGGGACGCGACGCUGCUGGGCACGGUGUCUGAAUCACGGGAGACAGCCCGGCCGUGCCCAGCGAGCCAGCGCCAGACCCUGGCGUCCUCCAUCUUCUCUCCUGAGCUCCCCCUGCUCCAGCUGCCUGAGCCACGGACCGCAGCACCACACACCCCCGCGGGGGGGGACGCCGCGCCCCAUCCCCGCCCCCGGCCCCACCCC
ensembl:lncRNA